rnacentral:rRNA from 1 species
UACGUAGGGUGCGAGCGUUAAUCGGAAUUACUGGGCGUAAAGCGUGCGCAGGCGGUUUUGUAAGCCAGAUGUGAAAUCCCCGGGCUUAACCUGGGAAUGGCAUUUGGGACUGCAAGGCUUGAGUGCGGCAGAGGAGACUGGAAUUCCUGGUGUAGCGGUGAAAUGCGCAGAUAUCAGGAGGAACACCGGUGGCGAAGGCGGGACUCUGGGCCGAUACUGACGCUGAGGAGCGAAAGCGUGGGGAGCGAACAGG